rnacentral:rRNA from 1 species
UACGUAGGAUGCAAGCGUUGUCCGGAUUUACUGGGCGUAAAGCGCGCGCAGGCGGCACUCUAAGUACGUCGUGAAAUAUCCCGGCUCAACCGGGAGGGUGCGAUGUAGACUAGGGAGCUAGAGGUCGGUAGAGGGGGGUGGAAUUGCUGGUGUAGCGGUGAAAUGCGUAGAGAUGUGGAGGAAUACCGAUGGCGAAGGCAGCCCCCUGGGAUAACACUGACGCUCAUGCACGAAAGCGUGGGGAGCAAACAGG